AACGAACGCUGGCGGCGUGCUUAACACAUGCAAGUCGAACGUGAUUAAAGAGCUUGCUCUUUAUGAAAGUGGCGCACGGGUGAGUAACACGUGGAUAAUCUGCCUGGCGAUUUGGGAUAACACCUCGAAAGGGGUGCUAAUACCGGAUAAGCCCACGGACUCUUAGGGGUUUGCGGGAAAAGGGGGCCUCUGUAUAUGCUCCUGUCGCCAGAUGAGUCCGCGGCCCAUUAGCUAGUUGGUAGGGUAAUGGCCUACCAAGGCGACGAUGGGUAGCUGGUCUGGGAGGAUGAUCAGCCACACUGGAACUGAGACACGGUCCAGACUCCUACGGGAGGCAGCAGUGGGGAAUUUUGCGCAAUGGGCGAAAGCCUGACGCAGCAACGCCGCGUGAGUGAUGAAGGCCCUCGGGUCGUAAAGCUCUGUCAGAGGGGAAGAACCGCCGGGUGGCUAAUACCUGCCUGGUCUGACGGUACCCUCAAAGGAAGCACCGGCUAACUCCGUGCCAGCCGCCGCGGUAA
rnacentral:rRNA from 1 species